CCCAGAUAACCAAUUAAGGUCUCCUACCUUCCCCUACAUAUUUCAACUCUGAAGCACCAGCAUCAUCAUCCCUGAAAGCAAAGCAGACAGUCUGCACAAGAACAUCCAAAUCGCUGCAGCUCUCGCUACUCUGUUUUCCAAAUCGCUAAUCUUGUGCUAUUUUCCACACAAAUUCCUGCAGAUUAUUGCAGAAGAGGAUCCACCGCAGAGAGAAGAUGCUUCCGAGGCAUAGAUUCUUCAAGUUCAGAUUCUCCUUGUAGCUGCAAAUGAAUGAGCAAAAAUCUCAUCUGCUCUCUCAGCUUCAUCUGCUCUCUCAGCUGCGACGAGAGAAACAAAAAUCCCUCUGAUCUCUGCCAGCGAGCCAGUUUGGUUGGUUUCUUUCUACACAUAGUCCUCCCACCACAUCUCUCUCAUCAGUCUAGUAGCUUUGCCCUUUUCCAGGCCAGGUGAUAACAAGGGAAGGUGAGAGGUCGAUUUUUUGGGGACUUAUUCUCUGCACCAGUAAUUUUGCAUCCAUCGUUUAUUCCUCUGCUUCGCGCGUCCGUCCUCUGCAUACCCAUCAAGUGUCGCGUCGUCUUGUCAGAGCUCGCAAUCAGCAGGGGCACACGACAGCGUCUGUAAUUGGUGCUGCAGGCGCAUGCGCGACAAACUGAGGUGAUCGAUCCCACCCAUCGAGAGGAGGUUGCACUUAAUUCGCAAAGCUGCACUUCAGUUUGGAGGGAGAGGGAGGCAUCCUGUUCCAUCACUCAAUCAAUCCACGACCUUGUGGUGGUGUGCGUGUCGUUCGCUGCCACAUAUAAGCGGCGUCAGAUGAGUGCACGGCCCUGCUGCCUCCUCGGCGCCGCGCACCACGCGCACGCGGGGGUCUCUUCUUCUUCCUCCUCCUCCUGGCCGUCCAUGGCGCCGUGGAUCGCCGUCGUCGACUGCUCCAGCCUCAGCUGGCUCCUCUUCCGCGUCUUCUUCACCUACGACAUCCACAACUUCGCCAAGCCCACCAUCUAGCACACAGCACCAAGUCAUCUCCUACUUAAUUACAGUAGUAGCCUGUUCGGCACAGCAACUUGUCUCUUGUGUUUCCUGCAACCGAUCGAGCUCGAGCAUGUCCGGGCCACGGCGGUGCGGCAGCCGGCGGCCAGCGGUGGUGGGGGACAACACCAACGGAUACGUCGAGACCGAUCCCACGGGUCGCUAUGGCCGGUUCGACGAGCUUCUGGGCAAGGGCGCCAUGAAGUCGGUGUACCGGGGCUUCGACGAGGAGCUUGGCGUGGAGGUGGCGUGGAACCAGGCCAGCCUCAGCGACGUGCUCCGGACCCCCGACGCGGUGCAGCGCAUGUACUCGGAGGUGCAGCUGCUGAGCAGGCUCUGUCACGACGCCAUCAUCGGCUUCCACGCCUCGUGGGUGGACCUGCCCCGCCGCACCUUCAACUUCAUCACCGAGCUCUUCUCCUCCGGCACGCUCCGCUCCUACCGCCGCCGCUACCCGCGCGUCAGCCUCCGCGCCGUCCGCUCCUGGGCGCGCCAGAUCCUGCGGGGCCUCGCCUACCUCCACGGCCUCGACCCGCCGGUCAUCCACCGCGACCUCAAGUGCGACAACAUCUUCAUCAACGGGCACGAGGGCCGCGUCAAGAUCGGCGACCUGGGCCUCGCCGCCGUGCUCCGGGAGGCCGGCGGCGCGGCGCACAGCGUGAUCGGCACGCCCGAGUUCAUGGCCCCCGAGAUGUACGACGAGGAGUACGACGAGCUGGUGGACGUGUACUCGUUGGGGAUGUGCGUGCUGGAGAUGCUCACCCUCGAGUACCCCUACAGCGAGUGCUCCAACCCCCGCGCAGAUCUACAAGAAGGUCACCGCCGGCAAGCUGCCCGACGCCUUCUACCGGGUGGAGGACGCCGAGGCCCGGCGGUUCAUCGGCAGGUGCCUUGUCGCCGCGUCCAAGAGGCCGUCCGCGGCGGAGCUGCUGCUCGACUCUUUCCUCCAACUCGACGAUCAUUAUCAGCAUCAUGCCACCGACGUGAUGCCACAGCCAACAAUAUCAUUGCCGCCUGCUGCUGCUCCUUGUUCGACCGGCAGCAUCAGUAGUUCCGAUGAUGUCUCGUCAACAAUGGGUGAUGAUCAUGUGGGGGGUGAGGAUGCCGCAGAUCCUCCAGUGGCCAGCAGGACUAGUGACAUGACCAUCACCGGCAAGCUGAACGCCGAGGAGGACACCAUCUUCCUCAAAGUCCAGAUCGCCGACGAGACGGGGAACGAUGUUCGGAACAUCUACUUCCCGUUCGACAUGGUGAGCGACACGGCGACGGAGGUGGCGGAGGAGAUGGUGAAGGAGUUGGAGAUCAGGGACCGGGACCCAUCGGAGAUCGCCGCCAUGAUCGACCAGGAGAUCGAGAGGUUGCUUCCCGGGCGAAAGCAGCAGCACGAGUACACUGUGUACGCGGCACAGGAUGAUGACGACGAAAACGUGGAGCGCCCUCCUCCGUUCUACUACCUCUCCUCUUCCCCCACCUCCUCCCAAGGCUCUGUCUGUGGAGCGGGACCCGGAGGCUUCUCUGGCCCACAAGGCAGCGCCUGGUCCAAAGAUUAUGGAUACAUGGCUUCUUUAAGCGACGAUGAUGAUGACAUGAGCUCCAUGCACUCUGGUAAGUACUCUGCUCUGCACUACGCCUCAGGGAAUGAAGAAGAGGCCCAGUCACCACAUCAAGUCAUCGGAGAUACGGCCUCAAAGGCCCAGCCCAAGAACACCAGAUUCGGCCCAGGAGAGACUCGGCAGCAGCAGCGGCAGUGCAGCAUGUCGCCGCACGCCGGCCGGCCGCGGCGGCGGGAGGACGACGACCGGCACGGGAGGGGGAGGAGGAUGACGCGGAACAGGUCGAUGGUGGACAUACGGAGCCAGCUGCUGCACCGGACGCUGGUGGAGGAGCUCAACCGCCGCCUCUUCUUCAACACCGUCGGCGCCGUCGAGAACAUCGGCUUCCGGGCGCCCACCACCACCUCCUCCUCUUCCUCGUCGACGCGUGGCAGGAUCCGGAGCAAAGACGACAAGCGUCACCAGCACGUCAUGUUUUAAUUUGAGCAAUCUGUUUUUCUUUUUCUUUUUUUGGUACUUAGUGUGUGUGGAUGCCAAAAAGGUAGUCAAGCCGGUAUGGUUUGUUAAGAUAUAAUAGGAGUAAUUUACUUAUCACCCUGUACAUUAUAGUUUUAAGAAAUAGUGCAAAACAAUAAUACUCAACGGAGUAUAUGUCAUGGAAUAUAACUUUUUUAGAAAACGUCUCAUUUA